GAUGAACGCUAGCUACAGGCUUAACACAUGCAAGUCGAGGGGCAGCAUGAACUUAGCUUGCUAAGUUUGAUGGCGACCGGCGCACGGGUGAGUAACACGUAUCCAACCUGCCGAUGACUCGGGGAUAGCCUUUCGAAAGAAAGAUUAAUACCCGAUGGCAUAAUUCUUCCGCAUGGUAGAAUUAUUAAAGAAUUUCGGUCAUCGAUGGGGAUGCGUUCCAUUAGGUUGUUGGCGGGGUAACGGCCCACCAAGCCUUCGAUGGAUAGGGGUUCUGAGAGGAAGGUCCCCCACAUUGGAACUGAGACACGGUCCAAACUCCUACGGGAGGCAGCAGUGAGGAAUAUUGGUCAAUGGACGAGAGUCUGAACCAGCCAAGUAGCGUGAAGGAUGACUGCCCUAUGGGUUGUAAACUUCUUUUAUACGGGAAUAAAGUGAGGCACGUGUGCCUU
rnacentral:rRNA from 1 species